UGCAAGUCGUACGGUGUAGCAAUACACAGUGGCGAACGGGAGAGUAAUAAAUCGCUAACGUGCCCCGGACUCUGGGAUAGCUGCCUGAAAGGGCAGGUAAUACCAGAUGACAUAUCCUGCUCGCAUGAGUGGGAUCUCAAAGGUCCGCCGGUCUGGGAGCGGGCGAUUUCGUAUCAGCUAGUUGGUGAGGUAACGGCUCACCAAGGCGACGACGCGUAGCCGGACUGAGAGGUUGGCCGGCCUCAUUGGGACUGAGACACUGCCCAGACUCCUACGGGGGGCUGCAGUAACGAAUCUUCCGCAAUGCACGCAAGUGUGACGGAGCGACGCCGCGUGUGGGACGAAGUCCUUCGGGAUGUAAACCACUGUCAGGGGUUACCAAGUUCUGAGGAGCCCCAGAGGAAGGCACGGCUAACUCUGUGCCAGCAGCCGCGGUAAGACAGAGGUGCCAAGCGUUAGGCGGAAUCACUGGGCUUAAAGCGUGUGUAGGCGGAUCUGUAAGUACCUUGUGAAAUCCCACGGCUCAACCGUGGAACUGCUGGGUAUACUGCGGAUCUUGAGCUGCUUAGGGGCGACCGGAACAAAUGGUGGAGCGGUGAAAUGCGUAGAUAUCAUUUGGAACGCCAAAGGUGAAAACAGGUCGCUGGGAGCAUGCUGACGCUGAGACACGAAAGCCAGGGGAGCGAACGGGAUUAGAUACCCCGGUAGUCCUGGCCCUAAACGAUGUCGACUGGAUCGUGGCGGCUCUGACGUCGUCACGGUCGAAGCAAAAGUGCUAAGUCGACCGCCUGGGAAGUACGGUCGCAAGGCUAAAACUCAAAGGAAUUGACGGGGGCUCACACAAGCGGUGGAGCAUGUGGUUCAAUUCGAAGCAACGCGCAGAACCUUACCUGGGCUUGACUCGCUCGGAUUAUCCCUAUGAAAGUAGGGG
rnacentral:rRNA from 1 species